CCUACGGGAGGCUGCAGUGAGGAAUAUUGGUCAAUGGACGAGAGUCUGAACCAGCCAAGUAGCGUGAAGGAUGACUGCCCUAUGGGUUGUAAACUUCUUUUAUAUGGGAAUAAAAUGUUCCACGUGUGGGAUUUUGUAUGUACCAUAUGAAUAAGGAUCGGCUAACUCCGUGCCAGCAGCCGCGGUAAUACGGAGGAUCCGAGCGUUAUCCGGAUUUAUUGGGUUUAAAGGGAGCGUAGGUGGACUGUUAAGUCAGUUGUGAAAGUUUGUGGCUCAACCGUAAAAUUGCAGUUGAAACUGGCAGUCUUGAGUACAGUAGAGGUGGGCGGAAUUCGUGGUGUAGCGGUGAAAUGCUUAGAUAUCACGAAGAACUCCGAUUGCGAAGGCAGUUCACUGGACUGCAACUGACACUGAGGCUCGAAAGUGUGGGUAUCAAACAGGAUUAGAUACCCUUGUAGUC
rnacentral:rRNA from 1 species